rnacentral:rRNA from 1 species
UAGGGAAUCUUCGGCAAUGGACGGAAGUCUGACCGAGCAACGCCGCGUGAGUGAAGAAGGUUUUCGGAUCGUAAAGCUCUGUUGUAAGAGAAGAACGAGUGUGAGAGUGGAAAGUUCACACUGUGACGGUAUCUUACCAGAAAGGGACGGCUAACUACGUGCCAGCAGCCGCGGUAAUACGUAGGUCCCGAGCGUUGUCCGGAUUUAUUGGGCGUAAAGCGAGCGCAGGCGGUUAGAUAAGUCUGAAGUUAAAGGCUGUGGCUUAACCAUAGUACGCUUUGGAAACUGUUUAACUUGAGUGCAAGAGGGGAGAGUGGAAUUCCAUGUGUAGCGGUGAAAUGCGUAGAUAUAUGGAGGAACACCGGUGGCGAAAGCGGCUCUCUGGCUUGUAACUGGCGCUGAGGCUCGAAAGCGUGGGGAGCAAACAGGAUUAGAUACCCUGGUAGUCCACGCCGUAAACGAUGAGUGCUAGGUGUUAGACCCUUUCCGGGGUUUAGUGCCGUAGCUAACGCAUUAAGCACUCCGCCUGGGGAGUACGACCGCAAGGUUGA